rnacentral:rRNA from 1 species
UACAGAGGUCUCAAGCGUUGUUCGGAAUCACUGGGCGUAAAGGGUGCGUAGGCCGCACGGUAAGUCAGAGGUGAAAUCCCGGAGCUCAACUCCGGAAUGGCCUCCGAUACUGCCGUGCUCGAGGACUGGAGAGGAGAUUGGAAUUCACGGUGGAGCAGUGAAAUGCGUAGAUAUUGUGAGGAACACUAGUGGCGAAGGCGAAUCUCUGGACAGUUCCUGACGCUGAGGCACGAAGGCCAGGGGAGCAAACGGG